ACGCACGCUGGCGGCGUGCUUCACACAUGCAAGUCGCACGCAGAGCGAUGGAAGCUUGCUUCUAUCAAUCUUAGUGGCGAACGGGUGAGUAACGCGUAAUCAACCUGCCCUUCAGAGGGGGACAACAGUUGGAAACGACUGCUAAUACCGCAUACGAUCUAAUCUCGGCAUCGAGGAUAGAUGAAAGGUGGCCUCUACAUGUAAGCUAUCACUGAAGGAGGGGAUUGCGUCUGAUUAGCUAGUUGGAGGGGUAACGGCCCACCAAGGCGAUGAUCAGUAGCCGGUCUGAGAGGAUGAACGGCCACAUUGGGACUGAGACACGGCCCAGACUCCUACGGGAGGCAGCAGUGGGGAAUCUUCCGCAAUGGACGAAAGUCUGACGGAGCAACGCCGCGUGAGUGAUGACGGCCUUCGGGUUGUAAAGCUCUGUUAAUCGGGACGAAAGGCCUUCUUGCGAAUAGUGAGAAGGAUUGACGGUACCGGAAUAGAAAGCCACGGCUAACUACGUG
rnacentral:rRNA from 1 species